rnacentral:rRNA from 1 species
ACAGUGGCAGACGGGUGAGUAACGCGUGGCAACCUACCCUUCACUACGGAACAACAGUUGGAAACGACUGCUAAUACCGUAUACGUCCUCCGGGAGAAAGAUUUAUCGGUGAUGGAUGGGGCCGCGUUAGAUUAGCUAGUUGGUAAGGUAAUGGCUUACCAAGGCGACGAUCUAUAGCUGGUCUGAGAGGAUGAUCAGCCACACUGGGACUGAGACACGGCCCAGACUCCUACGGGAGGCAGCAGUGGGGAAUAUUGGACAAUGGGCGCAAGCCUGAUCCAGCCAUGCCGCGUGAAUGAUGAAGGCCUUAGGGUUGUAAAAUUCUUUCGCUAGGGAUGAUAAUGACAGUACCUAGUAAAGAAGCCCCGGCUAACUCCGUGCCAGCAGCCGCGGUAAUACGGAGGGGGCUAGCGUUGUUCGGAAUUACUGGGCGUAAAGCGUGCGUAGGCGGAAUGGAAAGUUAGAUGUGAAAUCCCAAGGCUCAACCUUGGAACUGCAUUUAAAACUCCCAUUCUAGAGUUCUGGAGAGGUAAGUGGAAUUCCUAGUGUAGAGGUGAAAUUCGUAGAUAUUAGGAGGAACACCAGAGGCGAAGGCGGCUUACUGGACAGAUACUGACG